rnacentral:rRNA from 1 species
ACUCCUACGGGAGGCAGCAGUGGGGAAUUUUGGACAAUGGGGGAAACCCUGAUCCAGCCAUCCCGCGUGUGCGAUGAAGGCCUUCGGGUUGUAAAGCACUUUUGGCAGGAAAGAAACGUCGUGGGUUAAUACCCCGCGAAACUGACGGUACCUGCAGAAUAAGCACCGGCUAACUACGUG